UGGCUGGGAGUGCUGGCCAGUGUUUUGAAGCCAUGAUAGAGAGAGGGGGUCCUCUAGGGGAGCUGGUCCAGUGGACUGACCUCAGUGCAUAUCUGACCACCUGACUCUCAGCACCUUGCAGCACCACCUCCACAGAUCCACAUAGGGUGUCAUGUGUGGCCUCUUUGUCAAGGAGUUAGCUGUGGCCAUUUGGUGACAGCUACCCUGAAAACAAGGAGCCCAACCACAAAGGGGGAGGCCAAACACCCCUUGACCCUGACAGAAUUGAAGUCACUGAGAGGCUACUUCCAUUGGUGGCUGCAGGGGCAGAAUGUUGACAGGGGCAAAAUUGAGAAGAGGGACAAGAGCGUGGGGAGAAACAUCACAUAAAAAGUACAGGACGUUGUUAAAAAAGAAAAGAAAAGACAAGGGGGUAGUGCUUGAGUUAUGUCAUGAUUAUGAAUUUUAAGUGUUAAACACUGCUACACUGCUAUGGUUACUGUAAACUAAAUU